GAUGAACGCUGGCGGCGUGCCUAAUACAUGCAAGUCGAGCGAACAGACGAGGAGCUUGCUCCUCUGACGUUAGCGGCGGACGGGUGAGUAACACGUGGAUAACCUACCUAUAAGACUGGGAUAACUUCGGGAAACCGGAGCUAAUACCGGAUAAUAUAUUGAACCGCAUGGUUCAAUAGUGAAAGACGGUUUUGCUGUCACUUAUAGAUGGAUCCGCGCCGCAUUAGCUAGUUGGUAAGGUAACGGCUUACCAAGGCAACGAUGCGUAGCCGACCUGAGAGGGUGAUCGGCCACACUGGAACUGAGACACGGUCCAGACCCCUACGGGAGGCAGCAGUAGGAAAUCUUCCGCAAUGGGCGAAAGCCUGACGGAGCAACGCCGCGUGAGUGAUGAAGGUCUUCGGAUCGUAAAACUCUGGUAUUAGGUAAGAACAAAUGGGGAAGUAACUAUGCACGUCUUGACGGUACCGAAUCAGAAAGCCACGGCUAACUACGU
rnacentral:rRNA from 1 species